AAAAAAUCAAUUCCUAAGUUUAUGUAUCCAACGUUUGACUGUCUGUCUGUCUUAUAUGAAUUUCUUUUAUGAUUAGUAUUUUCAUUGUUAUUAGAUGAUAAAACAUAAAUAAUAUUUUAUGCAUGACUUAUCAUUUUAAUUUUUUUAAUAAUUUUUUUAAAUAAGACGGACGGUCAAACGUUGGAGACGGAAACCCAGGAAUUGAGUUAUU
rfam:Oryza rufipogon genomic scaffold, chr07